rnacentral:rRNA from 1 species
GGCUUAACACAUGCAAGUCGAGGGCAGCGGAAGUCAGCUGCUGACUUGCCGGCGACCGGCGCACGGGUGAGUAACGCGUAUCCAACCUUCCCCUUAGUAGGGCAUAGCCCGUAGAAAUGCGGAUUAAUACCCUAUGUUUUCCGAUGAGGACAUCUGAGCUGGAACAAAGGUUUACCGCUAAGGGAUGGGGAUGCGUCUGAUUAGGCAGCAGGCGGGGUAACGGCCCACCUGGCCGACGAUCAGUAGGGGUUCUGAGAGGAAGGUCCCCCACAUUGGAACUGAGACACGGUCCAAACUCCUACGGGAGGCAGCAGUGAGGAAUAUUGGUCAAUGGGCGCGAGCCUGAACCAGCCAAGUAGCGUGCAGGAUGACGGCCCUAUGGGUUGUAAACUGCUUUUAUGCGGGGAUAAAGUCACCCACGUGUGGGUGUUUGUAGGUACCGCAUGAAUAAGGACCGGCUAAUUCCGUGCCAGCCGCUGC